ensembl:antisense Gm11899 uncharacterized LOC110338767
AAUCAGGGUCACAUCACAGAGAAUGCCAUCACUUCUUUGCUGAUUCAGGGCGGCCAGGACAGUGUCAUUGUGAGAUUCCGAGUGGCACAGCCUCUGGCCCGUCAGCAUUUCUUGAAUACUACAAAGGAGAGUAAUGAAGCCCUGUUUAUUCCUUUCACGGGCUCAGCUUCCCGGGGGGCUCUCUCACCCACUGGACUUUGGGGAGGCUUCUUCUAGUGCACAAGCCCUUUGGACUGCUUCCUCAGAAACUGAUGGUGACCUGCCUCCAGGCAGAAUGACCGCCAAAUACUUUCUCUCUGGCUGCCUCUCAGAGUUUAGAAGCUUCCUCCUGCCUCGGUGCACCCCCCAGCUCAGCUCAUCCUUGGGACCUCAGGCCUGCUUCUUUCCUGGGUUUGCACUGCACUUUACCAUCAGAAAGAUUUUCAUCACAGCAUUUGCAUUACUGGUGGUAUAGCUGUUUCUCUGACAGGAUACCCAGCUUAUGAAGGAAUAAAUCAAAACUUGUAUUAGUCAUAGCUGGUACUUUACAUCAAGUUGAAUGUUUGCCUCAGCAAAUACUUACUAAAUAAAUAUAUACUCAAAGAAGAUAUCAGGAACUUCUGAAUCCUCCCCAAGUGGUUGCAUUAAAAGGGGGGUCAAUAUUCAGAGAUAGCAUAGUUUUCUACACAUUUGUAUCAUGUACCUUUAUAGUGAUUUGCCUUCUGCCAUCCAAAAUAAGAAAAAACAAACAAAAAACA